AGAACAGAGAACAUCCUAUUCAGUGCUGUCUAAUUUGAGUUUAAUGAAGUCUGUUUCUUGUGAGGUUUUCUGUCCUCAGAUACAGAGAGCUGUGAAAGCCUGUCUACAGAUGAAGAGGUCCCAAUGAAGAGCAGUGGUUCUCAGUCCUGGUCCUCAAAGGGGUGCACAUUUUCGUAUUUGCCUUUAGCACUAAACAUCUGAUUCAAAUGAUCAAGUCAUCAUCAAGCUUCAAGCGCAUAAAGUACUCUGUAGCCACUUAGUGUGGACACCAGUUUUUAUCAGCUGUGUUGGUAAACCCCUCCCGUAUCUGAACUGGCAGACACAGAGGGCACAGCAUGAUCAUAGGUAUGAUUUGAUGUGAGAGAGGAAGCCAGUCCGUCAUCGCCUCCGCACCCGCUCUUAAGAUAACCUUUGGGCCAAAUGGGAGCCCAAGUCUGGUUAGGAGACACCGCUAGAGACACAAUGUAAUUGUGAUGAACUGAGAGAAUAUUAGUGAAGCACUUUAAUUCAUUAAUCAUAUGUUGUCUUCUCUGCUCCUCUUACCUCUUUCCCUUUCUGUCUUCUACACCUCUCUCCCCACCUCCUCUUUCUUCCUCUUUUAUUUCACUGUAUCACAAUUCCAGUGGGUCAGAAGUUUACAUACGCUAAGUUGACUGUGCCAUUAAACAGCUUGGAAAAUGUCAGAAAAUGAUGUCAUGGCUUUAG